GACGAACGCUGGCGGCGUGCCUAACACAUGCAAGUCGAGCGAGUGAAUCUCCUUCGGGAGUGAAGCUAGCGGCGGACGGGUGAAUAACACGUGGGCAACCUGCCUCAUAGAGGGGAAUAGCCUUCCGAAAGGAAGAUUAAUACCGCAUAAGAUUGUAGCUUCGCAUGAAGUAGCAAUUAAAGGAGCAAUCCGCUAUGAGAUGGGCCCGCGGCGCAUUAGCUAGUUGGUGAGGUAACGGCUCACCAAGGCGACGAUGCGUAGCCGACCUGAGAGGGUGAUCGGCCACAUUGGGACUGAGACACGGCCCAGGACUCCUACGGGAGGCAGCAGUGGGGAAUAUUGCACAAUGGGGGAAACCCUGAUGCAGGCAACGCCGCGUGAGUGAUGACGGGCCUUCGGGGUUGU
rnacentral:rRNA from 1 species